rnacentral:lncRNA from 10 species
GUUUGAAUAGACUCUGCUUAAAUAUUUUUGGUCAGAAUACUUCAUGGGUGAUUCUGCAUACUUACAUCAUAUGACAUCACAUCAGAAGGUAUUCAGUCUCUGGUCAUCUCACUACUAGUGAUGUCAAGACUGACCAGCGUUCAAAAUAGUGACACCUAGAUAAAGAGUAACUUUUAAAAAGAGGCCGUGAACCUGGGCAAUAUAGUAAGACACCAUCUUUACCAAAACGUAAAAAAAUUAGUUGGGCAUGGUGGCGUGCUCCUGACGUCCCAGCUACUCUAGAGGCUGAGGUGGGAGGAUUUCUUGAGCCCGAGGUCAAGGCUGCAGUGAGCUAUGAUCGCACCACUGCACUGCAGCCUGGGCAACAGAGUGAGACCCUGUGUCAAAAGAAAAAAAAAAAAAGGCCAUAUAAGGGGUAUUGUCAGAUAUUUAGGAAGGCUUUGACCUAUAACAAGCCCUUGAAACAUAAGCAGAGAGAAAGUAUAUAUUAUCUGUCAAAUUGUGGUCCUUUUUGGUUAAUCAAGGAAUGUUAAAGAGACUCUGAGUGUGAUGCUUUUCCAUUUAGCACUAAAUAUAUAUAGUUUUGACAAGUAAUACUUAGACAAUUGUUGACAUUAAGAGUACCUUUGUUUAAUAUGCAAUUGUUAUCAGCUGUGUGCAAGGCAUUACUUGGGAUGCAAAGCUACACAAGAAACUACGUUCUCAAGAAGCUGACUCAGGUCAAAAGAUGUUACAUACAAAAAUAUUUGUGAUUAAUUUCUUUAACAAACCUUAUCAGGUAAAUGUUAAUUGUGUGACAAUUAUGUAUAUUUUAUGCUAAUUGUGUGAUAGAUAUGAAAACAGAAAUAAAGUAAUCCUACUUGAGGAGCUCACAGAAUAGACUUAUAAACACAAAUGUAUUACAAUUUCAUAUGAAUAAGUACCAGCAAGUAAAAACUCCUAGGUAAGUCAUUCUGAAUGCCUAAUAAGUAUUCAUCAUUGAGAAAUAUAAAGAGGUAGUUGCCCUCUAGGAACUUUCAUAAUGAAACCUACAACAUAUUUAGGCUCUGGUUUCUUCAUCUAUAAAGAGAAGAAUAUUAAACUAGUUCUGUGGGAUCCUUUUUAACCAUAGAGCUGUGUUAGUCUGAGUCUGGAAAGAUGUAUUACCUAUGUACUUAAGUUGCUGAUAACUUAGCAACAUGUGUUUCAGUGGCCAGAUGUUUUGUUAUUUGUUAGAAGGAAUAGAAGGAAAUAAUAUAUUUGUCUCUUAAUCCUUACAAUAAGCUUGUGAGGUAGCCAGUAUUAUCCCUCUUUUAUUGGCAAAAAAGUUGAGGUCAGUGGAUUUAAAUAAUUUAUCUAAGAUCACAUAGCUGUGAAGAGCUACAGUGAUAAAGCCAGGAUUUCAGUCUAAAUCUACUCAGCCUGUAUUUUUUCUAUUUCUUUCUUUUUUUCUGAGACAGGGUCUCACUGUGUCGCCCAGGCUAUGGUGCAGUGGUGCAGUCUCAGCUUACUGCAGCCUCUGCCUCCUAGGCUCAAGUGAUCCUCUUACCUCAGCCUCUUGAAUAGGUGGGUCUACAGGCACCCACCACCACAUCCAGCUAAUUUUUGUAUGUUUUUGUAGAGACGGGGUUUCACCAUGUUGCCCAGGCUGGUCUCAAACUCUUGAGCUCAAGUGAUACUCCUGCCUUGGCCUCCCAAAGUGUUGGAAUUACAGGAGGUGGUAUAACAGACAGAAAUCUACAAAGGAUCCUUGAGGGUUCAGGUGCUACAGAAUUCCACUGUUCUGCUCGGUCUACUAGAGACUCGGGAAUGAAGUUUCGGUAAAAAUGUAUUCUUCGAUUCAAAUAAGAAGGAUGAGAUUAAUUUUUACUUUCUCCCAAAUAGAAAAACUUUGGAUGGGGGCAUGAUUAAUCAAUGGAAUAUUGUGACUACUACAUAAGUAUUGUAGUUGUUUUUGUAGUUGAAAAACAUUUCUAAAAUGGUUCUUGUCCUGUCUUAAAUAAACAGGCUCUUUGAACAUAGGUGAACCUUGCCUUGUAAAGGCAUUGCUGAACUUAGACCAGUUAAUAGUAAACAAAUUCUGCAGUUGAGCUUCAAAUGAGUCAGAUAUGCACAUGUGCCCAUUCGCCUAUGAUUUCCUGUAGCAAAGUUAAUAACUAUGGUGUAAGGAUGGAAGAGUCAGUCAUUUUUCUC